AUUGAACGCUGGCGGCAUACUUUACACAUGCAAGUCGAACGGUAACAGGGUGCUUGCACCGCUGACGAGUGGCGAACGGGUGAGUAAUGCGUCGGAACGUGCCGAGUAGUGGGGGAUAACGCAGCGAAAGUUGUGCUAAUACCGCAUACGUACUGAGGUAGAAAGUGGGGGACCUUCGGGCCUCACGCUAUUCGAGCGGCCGACGUCUGAUUAGCUAGUAGGUGAGGUAAAGGCUCACCUAGGCGACGAUCAGUAGCGGGUCUGAGAGGAUGAUCCACCACACUGGGACUGAGACACGGCCCAGACUCCUACGGGAGGCAGCAGUGGGGAAUUUUGGACAAUGGGCGAAAGCCUGAUUCAGCCAUGCCGCGUGUCUGGAGAAGGCCUUCGGGUUGUAAAGGACUUUUGACAGGGAGGAAAUCCCUAGUGCUAAUAACACUGGGGGAUGACAGUACCUGAAGAAUAAGCACCGGCUAACUACGUGCCAGCCGCCGCGGUAA
rnacentral:rRNA from 1 species